GCGGGUAUCGUAUAACGGUUAUUAUCCGAGUUUUCCAAACUUGUGACGAGGGUUCGACUCCCUCUACCCGCUCCA
rnacentral:tRNA from 1 species